AGGCCACGUGGCAAGGGCCUGGUUGGGGACCUCCAGGGGUUGAGAGCAUCCUCUGGACAACAUGGAAAAAGAAAAUGAAAAUGGUGACCUCAGCCCUAUAGCUAGAAGGAAUUGAAUCCUGUCAACAACGAUACUCAUCACUCACUGCAGAUGUUACUUUAAGACAUUCUGGAGCAGCGUCAUGUGCAGGAGAAAAUAGUAUCAUCUCAGCCUUCUAUGAAAUCAAGGCAAUAUGUGCGUAGUGCCUCCGCCCAUCUCUCUCUUGCUCCUGGUCUCAUCGUGACGGGCCUGGUCCUGCCUCACUUUAUGCCACGACUAAGAGCUCCCUGAGGCCUCUCCAGAAGCAGAUAUCACUAUGCUUCCUACACAGCCUGCAGAACCGUAUACUCUUCUGCCGAGAGACUGUACUUCUCAGCCUCCCUUGUGGCUAGGUGUGCCAUGUGACUGAGUGCUCAUGAUUGAGAUGAUGUUCACCUUUGGAACCUAGCCACUAUACCAUGAGGAAGUGCAGACCACAUGGAGCCACCAUGUAUAGCUGCUCCAUUCAACAGCCCUUGCUAAGUUCUCAGAAAACAGUCUGUAUCAAUUGUUAGGAUAUGUAAAUAAACAAGCUACUGUAUAGCUCAAGUGUUUCACAAGGCAACGCUGGAAUAAGGAAGGCAGAAAUUUGAACCUGGAUGUCUCUGGAGCAGAGUUCCCUAUCACUUUGGGCUGUUUUCCCUCUUCUUGAACUUUAGGAGUGAGAACUUCUAGGGACUGCUUGAAUUCCUUGACUCACAGUGCCUCACACCAACCUCUGGUUCUAUUGAAACUUUGUCCGGCCUCCUCCCAACCUGCCGUCUCAACCUCUAGUUUCCCUCUUAUAAGGACCUUUGUAAUUGUGAUUACAUCACACUCACCUGGAUAAUUCAGGAAAAUCUCAUCAUGUCAAGAUCCUUAACACAAUAAAAUCUGCAAAUUCCCUUUUACCAUGCAAGGUAAUGUAUUCACAGGUUCCUGGGAUUGUAACAGAAACAUCUUUAGGAAGCCACUAUUCAGUCUCAUGCAGUGCACACAAACAUGCAUUUUCUGUAGGAAUAUUGAAAGCAUCUUAUUGUGAAUUGAUGACUUAGAAAAUGUAUUUCAGAUUUGGCCUGACUUUUUUAUUAUUGUUCUUUUAGUCUAUACUCUUCAUUAAAAAGACUCAGUAAGU
rnacentral:lncRNA from 1 species